rnacentral:rRNA from 1 species
UAGGGAAUCUUCCGCAAUGGACGCAAGUCUGACGGAGCAACUCCGCGUGAGUGAAGAAGGAUUUCGGUUCGUAAAACUCUGUUGUUAGAGAAGAACAGCGCAUAGAGUAACUGUUAUGCGUGUGACGGUAUCUAACCAGAAAGCCACGGCUAACUACGUGCCAGCAGCCGCGGUAAUACGUAGGUGGCAAGCGUUGUCCGGAUUUAUUGGGCGUAAAGCGAGCGCAGGCGGUCAAUUAAGUCUGGUGUGAAAGCCCCCGGCUCAACCGGGGAGGGUCAUUGGAAACUGGUUGACUGGAGUGCAGAAGAGGAGGGUGGAAUUCCAUGUGAAGCGGUGAAGUGCGUAGAUAUAUGGAGGAACACCAGUGGCGAAGGCGACUCUCUGGUCUGUAACUGACGCUGAGGCUCGAAAGCGUGGGUAGCAAACAGG